rnacentral:rRNA from 1 species
GACGAACGCUGGCGGCGUGCUUAACACAUGCCAGUCGAACGGAAAGGCCCUGCUUUUGUGGGGUGCUCGAGUGGCGAACGGGUGAGUAACACGUGAGUAACCUGCCCUUGACUUUGGGAUAACUUCAGGAAACUGGGGCUAAUACCGGAUAGGAGCUCCUGCUGCAUGGUGGGGGUUGGAAAGUUUCGGCGGGUGGGGAUGGACGCGCGGCUUAUCAGCUUGUUGGUGGGGUAGUGGCUUACCAAGGCUUUGACGGGUAGCCGGCCUGAGAGGGUGACCGGCGACAAUGGGACUGAGAUACGGCCCAGACUCCUACGGGAGGCAGCAGUGGGGAAUAUUGCACAAUGGGCGGAAGCCUGAUGCAGCAACGCCGCGUGCGGGAUGACGGCCUUCGGGUUGUAAACCGCUUUCGCCUGUGACGAAGCGUGAGUGACGGUAAUGGGUAAAGAAGCACCGGCUAACUACGUG